ACGCUCGACACCUACGGGAGGCGGCAGUAGGGAAUCUUCCACAAUGGACGCAAGUCUGAUGGAGCAACGCCGCGUGAGUGAAGAAGGUCUUCGGAUCGUAAAACUCUGUUGUUAGAGAAGAACACGAGUGAGAGUAACUGUUCAUUCGAUGACGGUAUCUAACCAGCAAGUCACGGCUAACUACGUGCAAGCAGCCGCGGUAAUCUGAGCGGGCUGGCAAGGC
rnacentral:rRNA from 1 species